GACGAACGCUGGCGGCGUGCCUAAUACAUGCAAGUUGAGCGCUGAAGGUUGGUACUUGUACCCACUGGAUGAGCAGCGAACGGGUGAGUAACGCGUGGGGAAUCUGCCUUUGAGCGGGGGACAACAUUUGGAAACGAAUGCUAAUACCGCAUAAAAACUUUAAACACAAGUUUUAAGUUUGAAAGAUGCAAUUGCAUCACUCAAAGAUGAUCCCGCGUUGUAUUAGCUAGUUGGUGAGGUAAAGGCUCACCAAGGCGAUGAUACAUAGCCGACCUGAGAGGGUGAUCGGCCACAUUGGGACUGAGACACGGCCCAAACUCCUACGGGAGGCAGCAGUAGGGAAUCUUCGGCAAUGGACGAAAGUCUGACCGAGCAACGCCGCGUGAGUGAAGAAGGUUUUCGGAUCGUAAAACUCUGUUGGUGGAGAAGAACGUUGGUGAGAGUGGAAAGCUCAUCAAGUGACGGUAACUACCCAGAAAGGGACGGCUAACUACGUG
rnacentral:rRNA from 1 species